GCCGGGCGUGGUGGUGCGCGCCUGUAAUCCCAGCUACUCAGGAGGCUGAGGCAGAAGAAUCACUUGAACUUGGGAAGUGGAGGUUGCAGUGAGCUGAGGUGGUGCCACUGCACUCCAGCCCGGGUGACAGAGCGAGACUCCGUCUCAA
rnacentral:SRP_RNA from 1 species